rnacentral:rRNA from 1 species
GUCGAACGCUGGCGGCGUGCUUAACACAUGCAAGUCGAACGGAAAGGCCCUGCUUUUGUGGGGUGCUCGAGUGGCGAACGGGUGAGUAACACGUGAGUAACCUGCCCUUGACUUUGGGAUAACUUCAGGAAACUGGGGCUAAUACCGGAUAGGAGCUCCUGCUGCAUGGUGGGGGUUGGAAAGUUUCGGCGGUUGGGGAUGGACUCGCGGCUUAUCAGCUUGUUGGUGGGGUAGUGGCUUACCAAGGCUUUGACGGGUAGCCGGCCUGAGAGGGUGACCGGCCACAUUGGGACUGAGAUACGGCCCAGACUCCUACGGGAGGCAGCAGUGGGGAAUAUUGCACAAUGGGCGGAAGCCUGAUGCAGCAACGCCGCGUGCGGGAUGACGGCCUUCGGGUUGUAAACCGCUUUCGCCUGUGACGAAGCGUGAGUGACGGUAAUGGGUAAAGAAGCACCGGCUAACUAUGUG